AUGUGGUACUCUUUCUCUGAUAGCCAGGAUAUAUAGGUCUAGGAGUCAAGGAGUGGAAAUGGGAGUGGCAUCACUCACAAUUACCUUUGGUGACCCACUAGCAAAAUUUUUGGUUCCUGUUUCUGCAGCUUUAAUUUCUGUCAGCCUAGAGGUCUUAGUUCCACAGAAACAAAUGCUUCUACCAGGAGACACAACAAUGAUUUCAUUGUGUUGGAUGUUAAGACUGCCACCUGGCCAUUUUGGGUUCCUCAUGCCUUUGAGUCAACAGGCAAGAAGAAAGUUGUGGUGUUGGCUGGGGUUAUUAAUCCUGAUGAUGAAGGGGAAAUUGAACUAAUCCUCCUCAAUAAAGGGAGAAACAGAAAUAACGAAGGAUGAAAAUUUGGAGAGGCACUGUUUUUAGUAAUAGUCUUACAUAUGAGGUAAGGCUUAAAGUUG
rnacentral:lncRNA from 1 species